CUGGGUUAGAGUGACAAUUGAUUACAUGAUGCAUUCAGCCAAUCAAUGCAUCUGAAGUGGUAUUCAAGCCUGCUCCAGCUUUCCCAGUCAGGUGUGAAGGGGAGAGCUGGAGACAAAGGAGCUACAGAUCUUCAUAUCCAGUGAGUUUGGAGCCAAGAAGUUGUCGUUUACUGAGCCUAAAAUGGAAUUGGCCAGGUGAUCCCUUUUUUGGGUUAAAGGAUGGCGAGCUACUGAACACUGGUUGGGCCCAGGAAAACCUGAACUCCAUACUGGUCUGGUAGGAGGCUGAUGGUCUGUAGCGUUUCCCUUUCCAUCUCAUCAUAUUGACACACUUUUCAUAAUUCAUCUCUUCUCCGUUGGACGCAAUUUGCACUUGGACAUUCCAUCUCAAAUAACUGGAUAAUCAAACUAUGGACUUAAAUGUGUGUCAGUCAGAUGUUGUGCUGAGCCGUUGGGAAAUGUAAGACUUUUGUGUGCAUUCAUUUGACAUACUGCAGUACUGUAUAUAUUGUUUUUGUAUAUCUUUUGGGUUCUUUGUAUGGUUUAUGUUUUGUAGUGUUUUACUUUUUUUUUCCAUCUACAAAAUUAA